rnacentral:rRNA from 1 species
GAGUUUGAUCGUGGCUCAGGUUGAACGCUGGCGGCAUGCCUUACACAUGCAAGUCGAACGGCAGCACGGGAGCUUGCUCCUGGUGGCGAGUGGCGAACGGGUGAGUAAUGCAUCGGAACGUAUCCUGGAGUGGGGGAUAACGUAGCGAAAGUUACGCUAAUACCGCAUAUUCUGUGAGCAGGAAAGCGGGGGACCUUCGGGCCUCGCGCUCUUGGAGCGGCCGAUGUCGGAUUAGCUAGUUGGUGAGGUAAAGGCUCACCAAGGCGACGAUCCGUAGCAGGUCUGAGAGGAUGAUCUGCCACACUGGAACUGAGACACGGUCCAGACUCCUACGGGAGGCAGCAGUGGGGAAUUUUGGACAAUGGGGGCAACCCUGAUCCAGCCAUGCCGCGUGAGUGAAGAAGGCCCUCGGUUGUAAGUACGUACUUUCGUCCG